UUGAAGCUUUCUUUGCCUUUUUGGCGGACGGGUGAGUAACGCGUGGGUAACCUGCCUCAUUCAGGGGGAUAACAGUUAGAAAUGACUGCUAAUACCGCAUAAGCGCACGGUUUCGCAUGGAACAGUGUGAAAAACUCCGGUGGUAUGGGAUGGACCCGCGUCUGAUUAGCUGGUUGGCGGGGUAACGGCCCACCAAGGCGACGAUCAGUAGCCGGCCUGAGAGGGUGAACGGCCACAUUGGGACUGAGACACGGCCCAAACUCCUACGGGAGGCAGCAGUGGGGAAUAUUGCACAAUGGGGGAAACCCUGAUGCAGCGACGCCGCGUGAAGGAAGAAGUAUUUCGGUAUGUAAACUUCUAUCAGCAGGGAAGAAAAUGACGGUACCUGACUAAGAAGCCCCGGCUAACUACGUGCCAGCAGCCGCGGUAAUACGUAGGGGGCAAGCGUUAUCCGGAUUUACUGGGUGUAAAGGGAGCGUAGGCGGCGAUGCAAGUCAGAAGUGAAAGCCCGGGGCUCAACUCCGGGACUGCUUUUGAAACUGUGUUGCUAGAUUGCAGGAGAGGUAAGUGGAAUUCCUAGUGUAGCGGUGAAAUGCGUAGAUAUUAGGAGGAACACCAGUGGCGAAGGCGGCUUACUGGACUGUAAAUGACGCUGAGGCUCGAAAGCGUGGGGAGCAAACAGGAUU
rnacentral:rRNA from 1 species